AUCACUUCUCAGCCUUUUGGCUAAGAUCAAGUGUAGUAUCUGUCCUUAUCAGUUUAAUAUCUGAUACGCCCCCUAUCUGGGGGCCAUAUAUUACAUGGAUUUUUAGAACAGGGAGAUGAAAGAAGAUCUUUCUCUGACCACUUCACGCAUUGACCUGGAAUUGCAGUACCUCCAGGACCGGUGCACAAAAA
rnacentral:snRNA from 1 species